UACGUAGGGGGCGAGCGUUGUCCGGAGUUACUGGGCGUAAAGCGCACGCAGGCGGUCAGGCAGGUGUGGGGUGACAGUGGUCGGCUUAACCGACCGAGUGCCUCGCAAACGGCGUGACUUGAGGGCCACAGAGGGACAUGGAACUCCAGGUGUAGUGGUGAAAUGCGUAGAUAUCUGGAAGAACACCAAAGGCGAAGGCAGUGUCCUGGGUGGUACCUGACGCUGAUGUGCGAAAGCCAGGGGAGCGAACGGG
rnacentral:rRNA from 1 species